UAAAUCAUCGACACAUGUUUAAUACCAAAUAAAAUACCCAAACGUAUCCGAUACACCGCCAUCGUUAUAGGCCACACAGCUUCCUUCGCAACCACUACAUCAAGUCGUAAUUGAAGCCUCUUUAUUCAUGGCGAGCGUAGAAUGGGAGCCUGCUAAGAAAAAGUGCAGGGGGCAAUGUUAUAAUAAUAUUUUGCGACAUCUAUACACAAAUGUCUCCUUUCUUUGCUGAAGUCAUACAUGUCCUUUUUAGAAAGGAGAAUUUGAGUUAUAAAUGAUUCUUACAUUAUUAAAAAUGGUGUUCAACAAGUUUUUUUUUUUGACAAAGAAUGCUGAUGCAUUCUUUUUUACUAAUUUGUAAAUAGACUCACAAUGUUAUAAAAUAUUAUUCCGUCAAUAGAUCGUAUAGAUCUUAUAUUAACUUCGUACCAGUUCUAAAAGCGCAAUUUACAUAUCUAUGUUUUUAAAUGUUAAGUAUUUUCGUUUGGCCAUAAAUUAUAUCUCCAAAGGAGAUAACUCACAAUUCAUUUUUUCUAACAGAACGUACAUGUGGUUACAUCUCUUAUUACCAAGACUUCUCUAUCUUAAAAUUGGGGAAUUGCUGGAAAUACAUCCGCCCUGCAUCCCGUUAAAUGACCACCAGACCGUCCCGCUGGCUAAAGGACUGACAAAUACAGACACCCCCCCCCCUCUCUCUCUCU